GACGAACGCUGGCGGCGUGCUUAACACAUGCAAGUCGAACGGAAAGGCCCUGCUUUUGUGGGGUGCUCGAGUGGCGAACGGGUGAGUAACACGUGAGUAACCUGCCCUUGACUUUGGGAUAACUUCAGGAAACUGGGGCUAAUACCGGAUAGGAGCUCCUGCUGCAUGGUGGGGGUUGGAAAGUUUCGGCGGUUGGGGAUGGACUCGCGGCUUAUCAGCUUGUUGGUGGGGUAGUGGCUUACCAAGGCUUUGACGGGUAGCCGGCCUGAGAGGGUGACCGGCCACAUUGGGACUGAGAUACGGCCCAGACUCCUACGGGAGGCAGCAGUGGGGAAUAUAGCACAAUGGGCGGAAGCCUGAUGCAGCAACGCCGCGUGCGGGAUGACGGCCUUCGGGUUGUAAACCGCUUUCGCCUGUGACGAAGCGUGAGUGACGGUAAUGGGUAAAGAAGCACCGGCUAACUACGUG
rnacentral:rRNA from 1 species